rnacentral:rRNA from 1 species
AGAGUUUGAUCAUGGCUCAGAACGAACGCUGGCGGCGUGCUUAACACAUGCAAGUCGAGUGCGCGCCUGUAGCAAUACAGGCGGCGCACGGCGGCACGGGUGCGUAACACGUGGGUAAUCUGCCCUCUGAUGGGGAAUAACCCGCCGAAAGGGGGCUAAUACCGCAUAACAUUCCUUGGAUUUCGGUCCGGGGACUCAAAGGCGUAAGUCGUCGGAGGAGGAGCCCGCGUACGAUUAGCUAGUUGGUAGGGUAAUGGCCUACCAAGGCUUUGAUCGUUAGCUGGUCUGAGAGGAUGGCCAGCCACACUGGAACUGAGACACGGUCCAGACUCCUACGGGAGGCAGCAGUGGGGAAUCUUGCACAAUGGGCGAAAGCCUGAUGCAGCGACGCCGCGUGGGGGAUGAAGCAUUUCGGUGUGUAAACCCCUUUCGAUCCGGACGAAUGCCUCGCAAGAGGAGUGACGGUACGGAUAUAAGAAGCCCCGGCUAACUACGUGCCAGCAGCCGCGGUAAGACGUAGGGGGCCAGCGUUGUUCGGAAUUACUGGGUGUAAAGGGUUCGUAGGCGGUGUGGCAAGUUGGGAGUGAAAUCUCUGGGCUCAACCCAGAGGCUGCUUCCAAAACUGCUGUGCUUGAGUGUGAGAGAGGCGCGUGGAAUUGCAGGUGUAGCGGUGAAAUGCGUAGAUAUCUGCAGGAACACCCGUGGCGAAAGCGGCGCGCUGGAUCACUACUGACGCUGAGGAACGAAAGCUAGGGGAGCAAACAGGAUUAGAUACCCCAGUAGUCC